GCACUUUAAGCAGUGAAGAAGACUCCUCGGUUAAUACCCGUGGACGAUGACAUUAGCUGCAGAAUAAGCACCGGCUAACUCUGUGCCAGCAGCCGCGGUAAUACAGAGGGUGCAAGCGUUAAUCGGAAUUACUGGGCGUAAAGGGAGCGUAGGUGGCUCUAUAAGUCAGAUGUGAAAUCCCCGGGCUCAACCUGGGAACUGCAUCUGAAACUGUAGAGCUAGAGUAGGUGAGAGGGAGGUAGAAUUUCAGGUGUAGCGGUGAAAUGCGUAGAGAUCUGAAGGAAUACCGAUGGCGAAGGCAGCCUCCUAGCAUCAUACUGACACUGAGGCUCGAAAGCGUGGGUAGCAAACAGGAUUAGAUACCCUGGUAGUCCACGCCGUAAACGAUGUCUACUAGUCGUUGG
rnacentral:rRNA from 1 species